rnacentral:rRNA from 1 species
GACGAACGCUGGCGGCGUGCUUAACACAUGCAAGUCGAACGGUGAAGCUCCAGCUUGCUGGAGUGGAUCAGUGGCGAACGGGUGAGUAACACGUGAGCAACCUGCCCCUGACUCUGGAAUAAGCGCUGGAAACGGCGUCUAAUACUGGAUACGAGAAGGGCCCGCAUGGGCACUUUCUGGAAAGUUUUUCGGUUGGGGAUGGGCUCGCGGCCUAUCAGCUUGUUGGUGGGGUAGUGGCUCACCAAGGCGUCGACGGGUAGCCGGCCUGAGAGGGCGACCGGCCACACUGGGACUGAGACACGGCCCAGACUCCUACGGGAGGCAGCAGUGGGGAAUAUUGCACAAUGGGCGGAAGCCUGAUGCAGCGACGCCGCGUGAGGGAUGACGGCCUUCGGGUUGUAAACCGCUUUCGGCAGGGAAGAAGCGAAAGUGACGGUACCUGCAGAAGAAGCACCGGCUAACUACGUG